rnacentral:rRNA from 1 species
CCCUUGUCUUUAGUUGCCAUCAUUAAGUUAGGGCGACUCUAAAGAGACUGCCGAUGACAAAUCGGAGGAAGGUGGGGAUGACGUCAAAUCAUCAUGCCCUUUAUGUCCUGGGCUACACACGUGCUACAAUGGUCGGUACAACGAGAAGCAAGUCAGCGAUGGCAAGCAAAUCUCUAAAAGCCGAUCCCAGUUCGGAUUGCAGGCUGCAACUCGCCUGCAUGAAGUCGGAGUUGCUAGUAAUCGCGGAUCAGAAUGCCGCGGUGAAUGCGUUCCCGGGUCUU